rnacentral:lncRNA from 1 species
UGAAAAAAUACUUUUGUUGUAUAAUAAUGCUUUUAUGUGUAUUGGGAAUGGGAGGGAGGUAAGGGGCUGAGGAAGGAAAACUAGCUGUAAAUGCAACUGGGAAGAUGUGGAAGAAGGUGGCCUCUGCGAAGGAAGUCUCCAGACCUUGACUAAAAGGACAGGAUUACCUUCUUCAGAUUGGCAUAGAUCCAAUUUUUGGUGAUACCAGUAUCAGGAAGAUGUCCUCUCAAAAGCAUUGCUGGUCUUGAGAAGCAACUACCUCACCCUGU